rnacentral:rRNA from 1 species
GGUUAAGCGAUUAAGCGUACACGGUGGAUGCCCUGGCAGUCAGAGGCGAUGAAGGGCGUGCUAAUCUGCGAUAAGCGCCGGUAAGGUGAUAUGAACCGUUAUAACCGGCGAUACCCGAAUGGGGAAACCCAGUGUGACUCGUCACACUAUCAUUAACUGAAUCCAUAGGUUAAUGAGGCGAACCGGGGGAACUGAAACAUCUAAGUACCCCGAGGAAAAGAAAUCAACCGAGAUUCCCCCAGUAGCGGCGAGCGAACGGGGAGGAGCCCAGAGCCUGAAUCAGCAUGUGUGUUAGUGGAAGCGUCUGGAAAGGCGCGCGAUACAGGGUGACAGCCCCGUACACAAAAGCGCAUGUGCUGUGAGCUCGAUGAGUAGGGCGGGAC